rnacentral:rRNA from 1 species
GGGAGGGGAUUAGUGGCGAACGGGUGAGUAACACGUGGGCAAUCUGCCCUUCACUCUGGGACAAGCCCUGGAAACGGGGUCUAAUACCGGAUACGACACACGACCGCAUGGUCUGUGUGUGGAAAGCUCCGGCGGUGAAGGAUGAGCCCGCGGCCUAUCAGCUUGUUGGUGGGGUGAUGGCCUACCAAGGCGACGACGGGUAGCCGGCCUGAGAGGGCGACCGGCCACACUGGGACUGAGACACGGCCCAGACUCCUACGGGAGGCAGCAGUGGGGAAUAUUGCACAAUGGGCGAAAGCCUGAUGCAGCGACGCCGCGUGAGGGAUGACGGCCUUCGGGUUGUAAACCUCUUUCAGCAGGGAAGAAGCGAGAGUGACGGUACCUGCAGAAGAAGCGCCGGCUAACUACGUGCCAGCAGCCGCGGUAAUACGUAGGGCGCAAGCGUUGUCCGGAAUUAUUGGGCGUAAAGAGCUCGUAGGCGGCUUGUCACGUCGGAUGUGAAAGCCCGGGGCUUAACCCCGGGUCUGCAUUCGAUACGGGCAGGCUAGAGUUCGGUAGGGGAGAUCGGAAUUCCUGGUGUAGCGGUGAAAUGCGCAGAUAUCAGGAGGAACACCGGUGGCGAAGGCGGAUCUCUGGGCCGAU